rnacentral:tRNA from 1 species
CGGAGUGUAGCGCAGCCUGGUAGCGCACCUCGUUCGGGACGAGGGGGUCGCAGGUUCGAAUCCUGCUACUCCGACCA